rnacentral:rRNA from 1 species
CCUACGGGUGGCUGCAGUGGGGAAUAUUGGACAAUGGGCGCAAGCCUGAUCCAGCAAUACCGCGUGUGUGAAGAAGGCCUUAGGGUUGUAAAGCACUUUCAAUGGGGAGGAAAACCUACCGGUCAAUACCCGGUAGCUUGACAUUACCUGUAGAAGAAGCACCGGCUAACUCCGUGCCAGCAGCCGCGGUAAUACGGAGGGUGCAAGCGUUAAUGGGAAUUGCUGGUAGUAAGUUGUUCGUAGGCGGUUCGAAAGCCUCGGGCUUAACCUGGGAACUGCAUUUGAAACUGGCGGACUAGAGUUGAGUAGAGGGGAGUGGAAUUUCAGGUGUAGCGGUGAAAUGCGUAGAUAUCUGAAGGAACACCAGUGGCGAAGGCGACUCCCUGGACUCAAACUGACGCUGAGGUACGAAAGCGUGGGUAGCAAACAGGAUUAGAUACCCAUGUAGUC